rnacentral:rRNA from 1 species
UACGGAGGAUGCAAGCGUUAUCCGGAAUGAUUGGGCGUAAAGCGUCCGCAGGUGGCUGUGUAAGUCUGCUGUCAAAGAGCAAAGCUCAACUUUGUAAAGGCAGUGGAAACUACACGGCUAGAGUGCGUUCGGGGCAGAGGGAAUUCCUGGUGUAGCGGUGAAAUGCGUAGAUAUCUGGAGGAACACCGGUGGCGAAGGCGGCAUUCUGGACCGGCAUUGACGCUGAGGCGCGAAAGCCAGGGGAGCAAACGGG